UCAUUGCCAGCAUGGACAGGAAAGGAAAAGAAAAUUUUUGGCAGGGAGGGCAGAAACAUUUGACAACAAUAACACAAUAUUUCAUUAUCAUGAAACUGUCGAGAUAAGCUAGAAGUAAUGCUUAAGUAGUGCACAUCAGAUAGUGUUCUACAUGUGAUACAGGCUUGGACUUUGGAAGAAAAGCUUGUGGAUGAGAUGACUAUAAAUUCUGGAUACAGUUUCAAGCCCAACUCUGAAAUAUUUAAAGGGAGUACAUUGGAUAUGGGUGGUAUUUAUGUACCCAGAAGCAAAGUUGAUAUUGACAUCUAUGAAGCAAAACAGCUUUGUGCACUACAUUGACAGAAAAUGAAAGGAUGAGUGGAGAAUGCUAGUCUUUCUGUUUGUUAAUGGCAAAGACAAUGAGUGAAAGAGAUCAAGAGAAGAUAUUUUGGAGUGACAGACUCAGUGCCUCUUGUUCCUGGUACUUUAUUUCUGGAAAUCCUGUUUCCGGUGUUAACAGAAAAUACUUUGGUAAGCACCACUCUGAGAGAACCUCACAGAAACCUGCAUUCUGCAUCCACACAGAUAUGUGGCACUCCACAGCUACCCUGACUACACUCAAGACAUACAAGGGAAGAUAG
rnacentral:lncRNA from 1 species